ensembl:lncRNA
GGGGGCGGGACGUAGAGGGGCGGGGCGGGAUCGCUUCCCAGUAAUAAGUACUGGCGGGCUUCUGUGAGAACCGGGAAGUAACGACUCGGAGAUGGAAUUGUUCAGAGCGGAGACUAGUAGGAAAUUGGGAUUCCAAUUCGACUCCUGAACUCAUACCAUUACUUCCUAACUGGGUCAAAUUAAUCAAACUCUCCUCAUUAUGAUUCUGACUGGACAAAAAAAGACCUUUUUGAGACACGGAGGAAUAAGAGCUGGACAGUACUAGAUGGUACCAGAUGUUUAGCAAACCUCACUUGUGUCAUCUCACUGAUGUUAUCCAUGUUCUCCAAGACAAAAGUGGCCGGACAGGAUUGUCAGCUACAGGAUCUUAAAUGGUAGCUCAUCCACCAGUAGCCAAGAAGGAUGCUUGUAAUGAUGAACUACCACUGUGCUGGAGCAUGAGCAGUAAGACGGCAAAAACAGAAGGCAACGAGAGCAAGAGGACACUUUCUAAAAAGACAACUAUCACUUCAAACAAUAAAGGCACAGCUCCACAAAACAUUUAUUCAGCAAAGUAACUAUACUCCGUGCCAACAGCACAUACUGACAUCGCAACAAACAAUUCUGCAAAGAUCAUCCCUAAUGAACAAGGAAUACUAGCCCCACCGGGGAGGUGGGAAUUCACUCUGACUGGGAGGGCUCCACAGAGGUAGCUGCUUACCCCGGUCUUAAUAGAUGAGGAGGAUUUUACUGGAUAGAUCAAGGAGAAAGCAGAUGUAGGGAGAGGAAAUAGCAUGUGUGGAAGUCCAGAUUCUAAAACAGAAAGAUGUGUCCAAGGACCCUCGACCAGGACUAUGUGGCUGCAUGUGGCUGCAGUGACGUGAGAGAAGCUGGGGUGAGCCUGGGAAGAGUGGCUGGGGUCAGGUCCUGAAGAACCCUGAUGCUCUAUGUUGUACAAGAAUUUAUCUGGUUCUUGCCUCUGGUUCUUCCUCAGAGGUAAAUGCCAAAUCCUUGACAUUUCCUGAGUGAUUCUUUGUUAUUCAUGGUGGGUCCCUGACCACACCUGAGUUUGUGCUAAUGCGAUGACUCAGGAUGUGGACCAGCCAUGCUGGAAAGACCAACCAUGUGAUUAGAGGGUUGGGGCUUUGAGCCAGCCGACCUUUAGGGCGUGGAGGGGGGCUGGAGACUGAGUUUAAUCACGUGGCCAAUAAUUCAAUCAAUCAUGCCUACGUAAUAAAACUCCAAUAAAAUUCGAGACACAAAGGCUCCAGUGAGCUUCCUGGUUGGUGAACACAUCAAUGUGCCAGGAGGAUGGUGCAUCUUGAUUCCACAGGGUAAGUGCACAGAAGCUCUACAUUCAGGAUGCUUCCGGACCUGGCCCUGUGUGUCUCUUCAUUGGGUUGGUCCUGAUUUAUACCCUUUAUAAUAAAACUAUAAUCCUAAGCAUAGCACUUUCCUGAGAAUUCUGUGAGUUGUUGUAGCAGAUUAUCAUACCUUAGGCGGUUGAGGAAAUCCCUGAAUUUGUAGCCAGCUGGUCAUGAGUGCAGGUAGCCUGGGGACCCCUGAACUUACAG